UUCUGGGAGGCUGCUCUAUGGUCUCCCCAGAGCCUUCGCUUCUCCAGACUGGAUAAACCCAACCCUCUCAGACUUUCUUCAUAAAAGAGCAUGGGGUGGUUCUUUGGACAGAUGUCCCCACUCACUUCCUUCAUUGCACUGGAAAACCUCCUUCAAACUUGUCCCUCACAGCAGUGGAGAAGUCACCCACAGCAGUGGGAGCCUGGCUGUGCCACGAGCCAUGAUGGUACAAUUGGUUUCUCAGUGACAUAUACCUUAUUAACUUUUUCAUGCUGGGAUUGCACUGAAGUGAUGCUGCUUUUACCCCCAGGAGUUACAUCAGCCAUAGAUGUUUUGAUCAUGAUCCACAGCUAACACUUUGCAAUGCUCGAAGAUAUGGCUGGGCAAGGAACAUCUGGAGAAGCCAAGUGAGACACCAGGACUGCAUUGCCAAAUCCCUGCAGGAGAUUCCUAUUGCAUAAAAUAUUCCAGUGAUCAAGCAGUGAUUGCCCACUUGUCAGCGUGAGGGAGAGCUCUGUGAGUGAAAGGCAAGAACUACUCUCCUGGAAGGAAAGCUGCAGCUCACUUGCAGCACUGCUGGUUCAUUUGUGCAUCAGAGACCAUGGGGCUGAGCAAGCAUCACAGAAACACAUUCUGAGGAAUAUCUUGGAAGUUUGCUGCAGAGAUUCUCUGCUGGCUGCAAAUACAAAGCUGCAGGCAGACUCUUCCUCUGCAAUUUGUGAACACAUCUUGAAGAGGGCCAACAGCCCCCUUUUUCAGCAGCACUGAGCAGUCAUGGUACCCAGAAGGAAAAACUACACUUG